UUUUAGUAGGAAAACAACAAUGGUAGUAAAAUAAAGUUAGGAAAUUAUUUUCCCUUCUUUUGUAAUACAAAACGAUAAUGAUUAUAAAGAACAUAGAAUCUUACCUGAGCACUUUAAGAAGCAUGGAGAAGAAAUAACAUCUUAGAGAGGUUAACGUUUUUUUGAAGACCUAGUUGGAUUGAUCAUUAUAUUUGCAGUAGGGUUUGAGGUCCUAAGGGAGAAUGAUAGAUGAGUUCUAAAGAAAAGGAAAGAGGGGGAGUGACUUUUGCUUGUCUUUGUUUCUCACUCUUCCUCUACUGAGUUUAC
rnacentral:lncRNA from 1 species